UCGUGCUAGACGGGGAACUAGCGGUGCCCUGUAGCCCGCAAUCCGCUAUAGCGGGGUCGAACUCCCGUUCUGAGGGCCAGCCUUUUGGGGUCUGACCCGUGUAAGUGGCGUUGAUGAUUGGGUCUCGCGCAACGUUUCUGCACCGAACCCCGUCAGGUCCGGAAGGAAGCAGCGGUAAGGUGUAGGGAGCGUGUGCCGCGAGGAAGCCUGGUCGGAGCUAACUGCCCGGGUAACGCCUGGGGGGUUUGGUUCGAAGGCGGGUGCGCGG
rnacentral:SRP_RNA from 1 species